CGCGGAGUGGAGCAGUUGGUAGCUCGCCAGGCUCAUAACCUGGAGGUCAUUCGUUCGAGUCGGAUCUCCGCCACAA
rnacentral:tRNA from 1 species